AUGCAGCGACGCCGCGUGAGGGAUGACGGCCUUCGGGUUGUAAACCUCUUUCAGCAGGGACGAAGCGAGAGUGACGGUACCUGCAGAAGAAGCACCGGCCAACUACGUGCCAGCAGCCGCGGUAAUACGUAGGGUGCGAGCGUUGUCCGGAAUUACUGGGCGUAAAGAGCUCGUAGGCGGUUUGUCGCGUCGUCCGUGAAAACUUGGGGCUCAACCCCAAGCUUGCGGGCGAUACGGGCAGACUUGAGUACUGCAGGGGAGACUGGAAUUCCUGGUGUAGCGGUGAAAUGCGCAGAUAUCAGGAGGAACACCGGUGGCGAAGGCGGGUCUCUGGGCAGUAACUGACGCUGAGGAGCGAAAGCGUGGGUAGCGAACAGGAUUAGAUACCCUGGUAGUCCACGCCGUAAACGGUGGGCGCUAGGUGUGGGUUUCCUUCCACGGGAUCCGUGCCGUAGCUAACGCAUUAAGCGCCCCGCCUGGGGAGUACGGCCGCAAGGCUAAAACUCAAAGGAAUUGACGGGGGCCCGCAGGAGCGGCGGAGCAUGUGUAUUAAUUCAAUGCAACGCGAAUAACCUUACCUGGGUUUGACAUAUACCGGAGAGCCGUAGAGAUACGGCCCCCCUUGUGGUCGGUAUACAGGUGGCGCAUGGCUGUCGUCGGCUCGUGUCGUGACAUGUUGGGUUAAGUCCCGCAACGAUCGCAGCUCUUGUCCUGUGUUGGCCGCGCGUAAUGCCGGGGACUCCCAGGAUACUGCCUUAUGUCAACUCGGAUCAAGGCGCUACAACAUGAACUCACCCCCCCCCUGAGGUCAAGGCGUCCACACAUGAUAACAAUGCUUGGUAGUGGAUGGCCGCCAUAUCUGUGAAGGGAGAAGCGAAUCCAAUCAAGCCAGGUCUCUUGUUCAAACAAAUUGUCUGCGGAGUAGAACCCACGCCAACGUCAUUAUUCACAAGUAGCUCGCCACGAUCAGUUAACUCGUGCCAGUCGAGUUCUUUG
rnacentral:rRNA from 1 species